ensembl:scaRNA
GGCCUCUCUCCCAGGAGACCAUGAGGGGUCCCUUUUCUCCUCAACCAGAGCUGGUGACCAAAAUCAGCCCUUGAGGAUCAUUGUUGGGGCUGCCAUGAGCUGGCAGCCUUGUUUUCCUGCCUCAGACACCU